AACGAACGCUGGCGGCAUGCCUAACACAUGCAAGUCGAACGAGACCUUCGGGUCUAGUGGCGCACGGGUGCGUAACGCGUGGGAACCUGCCCUUAGGUUCGGAAUAACUCCCCGACAGGGGUGCUAAUACCGGAUAAUGUCUUCGGACCAAAGAUUUAUCGCCUUUGGAUGGGCCCGCGUUGGAUUAGCUAGUUGGUAGGGUAAAAGCCUCCCAAGGCGACGAUCCAUAGCUGGUCUGAGAGGAUGAUCAGCCACACUGGGACUGGGACACGGCCCAGACUCCUACGGGAGGGGGGAGUGGGGAAUAGUGGAAAAUGGGCGAAGGCCUGAUGCAGCAAUGCCGCGUGAGUGAUGAAGGCAUUAGGGUUGUAAAGCUCUUUUAACCGGGAUGAUAAUGACAGUACCGGAAGAAUAAGCUCCGGCUAACUACGUG
rnacentral:rRNA from 1 species